rnacentral:rRNA from 1 species
AACGAACGCUGGCGGCAGGCUUAACACAUGCAAGUCGAACGCCCCGCAAGGGGAGUGGCAGACGGGUGAGUAACACGUGGGAACAUGCCCAAAGGUACGGAAUAUUCUCGGGAAACUGGGAGCAAUACCGGAUGUGCCCGAAAGGGGAAGGAUUUAUCGCCUUUGGAUUGGCCCGCGUUGGAUUAGCUAGUUGGUGGGGUAAAAGCCUACCAAGGCGACGAUCCAUAGCUGGUCUGAGAGGACGACCAGCCACACUGGGGCUGAGACGCGGCCCAGACUCCUACGGGAGGCAGCAGUGGGGGAUCUUGGACAAUGGGCGCAAGCAUGAUCCAGCCAUGCCGCGUGAGUGAUGAAGGCCGUAGGGUUGUAAAACUCUUUCGUGGGGGACGAUAAUGACGGUACCCAAAGAAGAAGCUCCGGCUAACUUCGUGCCAGCCGCCGCGGUAACAC